GGGGAUACGGGACGUACGGGGCCCGCUGGUCCCAAAGGAGAGAGAGGCUUUCCGGGUGAACCUGGUGAAGUAAUAAAUGGUGGUGGAGGUGUUCCUGGAAGGAAAGGAGAGCCUGGAAAUCCAGGAAUUCCCGGACAACCAGGGACUCCAGGGCAGAGGGGAAUCCCCGGAAAUCCAGGACCCCAAGGGCCCGAGGGACCAAGUGGACCUCCUGGUGUUAUAGGCCAGACUGUGAAGGGAGAGAAAGGAGAACGAGGUGAGAGAGGACUUCCAGGACUGGUUAAUGGAGUUGCAGUCAAAGGAGAACCCGGUGGUCCAGGCUCUCCCGGUCUUAAUGGGGCGCCAGGUCUUCGGGGAGCACCUGGAGCACAAGGGCAAAAAGGCGACAAGG